rnacentral:lncRNA from 1 species
UUUUUUUUUUUUUUUUUUUUGUUUGUUUGAUAAGGAAAAAUUUAGGUGAAUUCGAUUACAAAUAAUCUAAUACAUAGAUAUUAGCAGCUGUUUUCAAGGUUCCUUUAUUGUUGAAAUAGUUGAUGGAAUAAUUUAUUUAGAUGAAUUACUUCGGACUGCAUGAUCACAAAACUCAGCAGUAGAGCCGGUAGCGUAAAGUGUAAAUCAAUGGUAAGUUCCUACUAUUAGAAAAGAAAAGGAAGCUACAAUAGAAUAGUUCCUACUAUUAAAAUAUGCUUUAGUGUUAGAUUUUUUAAAAUAUAAGAUUAGGGGAAGGUAAUAAUGAUUAGUAUGGAGCAAAAAAAAAAAAGUUUAGUAUAUGUAUACACAUAACAUGUCAAAUGGAAUUUAGGUAUAUUAAUAAAUGCAUAUCAAGCACCUUUAAUAAAACUCAUAACAAAUAAAUAUCCGAAAAAGAAGAGAAUUUCUAAAACUGGAAAAGAAAAUAAAGGAAAGAGUUUUCUUUUUCUUUUUUUUUUUCCUCUCUUUUUUGGCGUGACGAAUGAGAGACGAGAGAGAAGGAGCAAGGAGUAAUCGUAAUAAUUAAUUUGGGGGAGUGGUUUUUCACUUUUCUUUUUGCUAUCAUAUCAUCGCAUGUGGGCUGUCGCUUGGAUACCGCUUGUGGUGGUGGUGGCGCAAAAGUAACCAACUCACCUUUGCUCCCUCAGAAUCUCGGCCACCGUCUGCCGUCAUCCCUCCACCGCCACCUGCUUCAACGAAGAUAGCAGCAGCAUAAAAUCUUCUGAAGAUGAGCUCAAUUUCUCCUUUGGAUCUCUUACCACUCUCUUCUCCCUUGCGCACCAGCAUCGCCAUCAACAACUCCCCCGCCUUCCAUCGCCAGCUGCCGUCCCUAUUGUUACCUCAGGCCGGCCCUAAACCCUCCAGAACCUACCUCAGUUCAGUCCAUCAGUUAGGCUCCUCCCACAAGCCCUUCACUGUUGCAGCCGGCAGCACCUUGACCGCCAAUUCCGUACCGGUAUGACCAACCAUCCACUUGGCCUUUUAUUUUUGGAUUUAUUAUUGUUGUUAUUUUUUGUGGCUUUCCCAGUAAGAAUGAUUGUCAGGCCGUUUCUUGUUUGCAAUUGUGAUGGUUAAGUUGAUUUUAUUCGGCCAAAAGAAAAAAAAGAUUUUGUUUUCUUGAUAAGCAGAUCAAUUGAUUAGAAAAAGCUGUAAAUUUGAUUUUUGAACACGUGUUGGAACCGAAUAUUUUGUUGAAUUUCUAGUUCGUGUUGGGAGACUGAGUUUAUUUACGCAUUUUAGCACUUGUUUACCUGUACAUUCUUUAAAUUUGAGUUCUAUUUUCGAGAUAUCCCCUGCCUGUUUGCAGGCAAGAAAUGGUAUAUAUACUGUUGGUGAUUUCAUGACUAGAAAAGAGGAGCUACAGGUGGUAAAGCCAACAACAACUGUUGACGAAGGUAUUCUAGAGUGCAGCUCAAAUUCUUACACGAAAAUAUUACUUCUGCAUUUACAACUAUUCCUUACACAUUGUUUUCGUCCAACAGCCUUGGAAGCUCUUGUGAAAUACAGGAUAACUGGUUUUCCCGUCAUUGAUAAUGACUGGAAACUGGUACGUCUCUCUCUUAUUAGUUUAUAAAUGUUGUUUUCCAUCUCCCUGGUAGCAAAUAGGUCAUUAGAAAUGCUACCAAAAUUGCCACACACUCGAGCUUGGGAUUUCGACUGAUUUCUCCUUAAUUUACCUCUGCAUCACCUAGGCUGACGUGAUUUCUUCGAUAACUUUGAAACUAAUUCUAAAUUCGUGGCAUUUUAUGCCUUGAUUUGCUACUUUACUAAAAUCAUCAAACUUCAUCAGCUAAUGUGUUGUAAUUGGUUUGGGGCCCUUCUAUUUAAGUAGUUCAAGGUCUGGAUAUUAUUAGGCAAAGGUUGCUGCUUUUUUGUAGCAUUAAGAAGUUCUUUAUUGCUGCAGGUUGGCCUUGUUUCAGAUUAUGAUUUGUUAGCUUUGGAUUCUAUAUCAGGUAGAAAUUCAAAAAUUUCAAGUUACAUUAAAUACACCUCCUCUUCUGACUGUUGCUCUUGAAUCUUUUGCGGGUGUUUCUACCUUGUCCCGUAGGCCUUAGAUAUUAUGAACCUUUCUGCUCAUCAUAGUGGAGUUUGCAAUCAUGUGCUAAUAUGGCCCAUUUCCCUGUUGAUGUGGUCUUCCUACUUUAUUUUUAAUUGCAAUCCUUCAGUUGACAUUUUGUCUGGGGCAAGCAAAGAAGCAAACUGAGAUGGAGAAGAUAUAAUUGAUCUAUUAUUGGGGAUAGCUUAGGAUCCAUCUUACUAAAUGAGUCAUCUGUUUUUCCGAUAACUAGUAUUGAAAUAUGAAGUUUUAUAUCACAUUUCAUUUCGUAGAGGCUACUUGCAACAAAGCUUACUGAUUAUGUGCUUAUGUAACUCCUCCUGGCACGGUUCAUUUUGUCAAGUUUAAAACUGUUACCCUUUAUCCUUGCGUAUAUUUCAUUCUCCAAUCAUAUUAGUAAAUACCUCACAUGAUAUAAGAAGUUCCGAUAUUUUGAUCAGGUACUGCAAAAAGUGAUGCAGACAUAUUUCCAGAAGUUGACAGCACAUGGAAAGUACGUAAGAGAUCAUUAUUUUCUUUUAAUGACGUCUGUCACUGCAACAAAUGUGCAUUUUACUAUGCCUCUUUUCUUGAUUUUUCUCAUUUUAAUUAAAUAAGCCAAAAAAUGCAAGAGUCAGUAGAGUAUCCUUUGUCCUUUUAUUCCUGUACUCUACUCUUUUAGAAGUUUUAGUUUCUCUAGAUUGUCUCUGUAUAUGUUUCUGAAGGUGGAAUUACUAGCAUUCCUCCUAAAUGUAAUUUUUUAUUUUUAAUAAUAAUCUCAGGCUUCCACUUACGGAUCGGUACCUUGACUUGUCAGACCUUUAUUUCACAACUUCAAAGCAUUUCCUGUGGUCAGGUGUACAUAUCUUGCUUGUUGCACAGUCUCUGUUCUUUCACUCUUUCUCGACUGUUGUUCCCAUGGUCAGGAGUGCAGUUAGCCAAGGAUCCUGUGCCAGUACUUUUGCUUGUCCCUUGUGAAUGUUUUUGUUUCAUCUUGGUGAUAUGUUAUCCCAAUCGAUGAUAUUUUCCUGGUGAAAACUUGGGGAAAAGAAUAGGAGAAUUCUGAUGCCUUGUAUGUAAUUCAAUAAUUCAUUUAGAAAAGCAUGUGAAAACAUGGAGAGUGCAGAUUGUAGAUUUAUAUGAUUAACGUAGUAGAGGGGAUGCCUAAUCCAAUCCAAACCAUAAAGGAGCAUAAUUCUUGAAAUAAUAGAACUCGGUGAAUCCACUUUCACAGUUAAACAUUUCUGUUUUCUGGUCAGUCUCUCUCUCUCUGGCACGCAUGCGUGCAGAACUCAUGAAUGUGUUGACUGGCCGCACUGGUGUUUCGAUUUAACAUGUUCUGACAUCUCUGAUCCUGAAAAUUUGUCACAGACAUUUAAUGAGAUACAGAAGUUACUUAGCAAAACCAAUGGUCAAGUAGUAGGUGAUCUAAUGACACCAGCUCCGCUGGUGGUUCGUGAAACUACCAAUCUGGAGGAUGCUGCAAGGUUCUUUACUUGAUUUAAGCUAGCUUCUCUGACUGCAGUAUUUUUGUGUCUUGUAAAGUGGCAAGGCUAAUAUAUUUAGCCCUUUUGUUGCUAUUUUUCAACUUCAGGUUGUUACUCGAGACAAAAUACCGACGACUUCCGGUUGUGGAUGCUGAUGGUAGGCUGGUAAGAGCCAGUUACUCUGUCCUUUGAUUGUGUGUUUCUUCCAAGGUUUUCAUAAUUCUAAAAUUGUUUCCCUUGUUAAGGUUGGAAUUAUCACAAGAGGUAAUGUUGUAAGGGCUGCCCUUCAAAUAAAACGAGAAAUGGAGAACAAGGCGUGACCUUGGAUGGUAUUCACUUGGGGAAGUACCAUGAAGCUUAGGCGGGAAUGUCGUCGCGUAUCUCCAAGAGCCUCACUGAUUCCAACUGCCUGCAAUAUUAUAGUACAUUUCAAUGAAAUUUGUCAAAGUUUUUGCUGUCGGAUUAGAAGAGAAAAUAUGGAAACGUUACACACACAAAUUCCAGGAUGAGGAUGAUUGAGUGUUGGACUAGGAAAGAAUUGGGCCUUAGAUGGGUUAUAGGAAUUCUUCGCAGUCUCAGCUGAGAUUGUCGGCUGGGUGAUUAUAAGAGCAUUGAGUAUAUAAAAUGUCUUAGAAUUGAACUCUCCCCUCCUGUAUUGGGGUGGGGGGGUUUAUGCAGAGGGAUACAUGUUUACUAUUUUCAUUUUGUGUCGUGGAAAUAUAACGCUGAACAUCUACCCGAUGGAUCUUUAAAACUCGGAUUAUCUUACUUGCUCUUGUACGACUGAACCUCAUGAAUAUCAAGGAUGGAGCUUCACGGAUUACAUCCCAAAUUCAUUAACCAUAUGAAGAACACCUUUUCCACUGCUAUGAAGCUACAGGGCCAUAGGCCAUUCAUCUGUUUAAUGAAUGGUGAUGAAGGGAAGGGGAAGUGGUUAAUUAAUGGUGAUGCACAUGCUCUAUGCAUUGAUUUGUUUAGCCAAUUAAAGAAAGCCUAUCUUACCUGCUGAACGCGUUAUUCGAUUAACAAGGACAGUAAUAAUGCCUUUACGGAGCCCAAAGUGGAGCGCCAUCCAGCCCUAGAACUCGGGUAACCCAUCCCAUGCAUGCCUGCCGUUCAUCAUUAUACUCCAUGCAAGAUACACGGACGCAAGUGUCAUUUGUAGAGUUGUAAACGAGCCGAAUCGAACCGCGUAUCUCAUUCAUGCCUGCCUUUCAUCAUUAUACUCCAUGCAAGAUACACGGACGCAAGUGUCAUUUGUAGAGUUGUAAACGAGCCGAAUCGAACCGCGUAUCUCAUGUUUGAGUUCUGUUCGUUAAGCGAUUCGAACAACAUUCGUGUUCGUUCGUUAAUUUUCGAACUCCAAACCUGUGUUCAUGUUCGGCUCGUUAAGCAAAGUUCAUGUUCGAGUUCGUGUUCGGCUCGUUUAACAUAAACGAGCCAUUCGCGAACAUGCUCGAAAUGCUCGAAUCCAAAUUAUUUUAAGCCUUAAAUAUGCCAUACAAAUCAUUAAUCAUUCUCUAAAAUAAUUAAAGCACUAAGUGACUAAAUUCUAUUAUUCAUUAACUAUAUAACUAACAUUAACAUAAAAGCAACAAAUAAAACAAAGCAAUUUGCCCUCCAAAUAUAAAAGUCCAGCCGUAAAAUUAACCCUAAAAUUUGUCAAAUGAUAAUUAUGUCCAUGUUCGCGAACAUGCUCGUAUUCGCUCGAUUAUUAAUCGAACAAAAAAAUUCGUUCGAACUCGGUUCGUUUAAAAUUUCGAACGAGCCUUUCACAAACACGAACGAGUCGAAACGAACCGAGCUACCGAACAGUUCUAGUCAUUUGCAACUCCAAAAUAUCAAAUACAUGCUUGUAUCACUUCAUAUCGUCAAUCUGCCAGUUGGAGCGCGCGUGAAGUGCAUAGAUAUCAAAUUUGGAGGGCGUCGUUGUUUUGCUUAUUGAGUAAUCUUCCUGUCCGAGUUGUUUGGCCGUUAUAGCAUCGAAAAUAAGAUAGGCGGUACAAAAUCAUGACCCAUGGGAGAUGGAAAAAAUUUUGAAAAGAAGACGAGAGGGUGAAAAAAAAUACUGUAAUAAAAUCAACCAAGAUUUUCCAUACCGCGAUGCAGCCCAAGUAGUGGACCCAACGUAGCUCGACCAAACUAUUGUAUUGGUUAGGGGCAGUGGCAGAGUCAGUAUCCAAGAACAGUAGUAUAAAAAGAUAGAAGAGUGAAGGAAAAAACUAUGUGGAUAAUACACAAAAAUUAUAAUUUUGUAAUCUUGUAAUAAAAAAAUUUACUCGGAACCUUGUGCCUUGGUUUUGAAUUAUAAAAUGCAAGAUAAAAUGUAUUUGAACCUGUUUCAAAUUUGUUAGGGGGCAAUCUGAGAGAAAAUAGCGAUGUUGAAAAAUUUAAGAGAAUAGAGCAAUGCUUAAAAAUUUAAGAGGGGGGAGGGCGGAAGUCGGGAAUUCUAAAGAAACAUUCAAAAAAUUUGUUUUAUAUUUUUUUUAUAACAAUUUUGUAAUUUUUCAAGAGUUGAGGGGGGCAAUAGCCCAUCUUGAACUCAACUACUUAGGGGUGCCAACAAAUUGAUCAACUCGCGAAUAAAUCAGUCAUAAUCUCAAAGUUGAGUUGAACUCCAACUACUCGAGUUCAUUGCGUGCGUGUGUAUAUUAUGUAGUAUAAUUGUUAAAUUACAUAAAACUAUAUUCUAGGACAAAUUAUACGCCUUACCAUUCAAACUCAAGCUUGAGUUUGAUGUCAAUUUACAUCUUGAGUGAGUUUGCACUCUUUUAUGUUUAUAGGAGCCGAUCUUCUUGAACUUCAAAGACCUCAGCACAAGUUCGAGCUUGAAUAUGAUAAGUUCUAGACUUACUAAUGGAAUAGAACAAUAAAUUGUUAGAUUAGAAUUGAGGCCAUCACGGUAUUGUUAUUAAAGUCUAAACCGACUAAAUAGAUUUAAAUAAUAAAUAUUUUUUUAAACGAUUUGAUCCGAUUAUAGUCUGUCGGUUCUGGUUCUGAUUCAAAAUUUUUAUGAAUCUGAACCUAAAUCUUUAAUCACGAUUACGGUUUCAAUUUUGGUUUAAUUUUCCAAAUUCCGAUUCAAUAAACUGCUGGUCUGAUUCCAAUUCAGUCCGAUUCCAAUUCAAGCUUGAAGCAUGGCCACCCCUACGUUAUAACCCAUUCUUUUGCGACAAGACAAACGAAGAAAGUACUAAUAGUCAAAUCGAACUUGAAGGAAAAACCCCACCACUACCCGUAAUAAAGCUAGAACAACCCCUAUCAGGACUUUUUUGACACGUGAAUUUUUUGGAUGUUUGUCUAAAAUUUUACUGUAACUUACUGUAGAAAUUUUUAAAAAAAUUUUUAAAGUGUGUUUUUUUCUGAAUAUUUUGAAGUGUAUCGUUUAAAAUUUUUGAAAAGUUUUUUAAAAUUACUGUAGCUAAAGUUUUUAAAAAACUUAUAUAGCAGACAAACUUAACAAAAAAUUUGUCUCCUGUCUAACUGCUGCAACUCAUCAAAGAAGAAACUAUAAACCCUGUUCAACUUUUGACCGUCCUAGUAGCCUUACUUAUAGCAUAUGCCCACAAAGAAUGGGAAAAUAAAUCAACUAGUCUUAGGCGAUGCAUCACCCGAUGGGUACUGCUAUAAAACUACUGUAUCGCCAUCGUUAAUAUGUACUACUGUGAACAAGUCCAAAUGAAAUGGGUGUGCCUGCAAUUAAUUUCUCGAGUCAUUAAAAACAACGCAGAAAAAUACCUAACUCUGUGGAGUCAAAAAUGGAACCUUAUCACUUUUAUUAGUUGUUAGCAAAACAGCAACCACUUGCACCAAACUCGAGCAAACGUAGGACCAUACAUGUUCCCUCGACCUCACCGACCCUCCCCACCCCACCCCAAACCAACUUGGAUUUACUACUUACUAGCUGCUGCUACAACCCCACAGGCCAGGCCCAAACACCACCACCACCAAUCCUCAAAAAAAAAAAAUGCAAGCAAUUGCAAAGUGCACAAUUAUAAGUAUUCUACUACUAGUAGUAGCAGUAGUAGCAGUAGUAGAAAAGCCAUAAAGUAAUACAUACUGAUUGAUAUAUUUUUUGAUAUCAUCCACAGGUAAAACUUGGAACAAAGAAAAGGUUACUAAUCAGGGCAAAAUAUUUACACUAAUUCGUUUUUAUCAGCUCCAAAACUUGAUGCUCUGUUAUCAUAUAAAGAGGUAAAAACUUGAAAAAGAAAAAGAGAGAUAGAAAAAUAGAAUUAGGUGCUACUUGCUUCUUUGAGGAUUUGAAGCCAGCCAUCGAGCGCACGUUAUCAAGCGCCCUCGGGAAUACACUAAUACAGUGGACAUAAAUAUAUACUAUGAUACUUUUUUUCUUUCUCUCUUUCUUUUUUUUUGGCCCCUUUUCCCUGCAGGUAGAGCCCACUCACCAAUAGUCAACAUCUGGAUCCUCGGGCUCGGGCUUCUCAUUCAAGUCGGGCUUUUCUUGAAACCAACAGGGCUUCAGCUGAGUCGGUGUUGCAUGGUCAUGGUGGCGGUGGUGGUGGCUGCGGCCGUGGUCGUGGUGGUCAUGGGUGGUGAUGGAACUUUGAACAGCAUCAACUCUCGAACCCACCUCUAUUGCUUUCUUGCGAAUAGCAGCAGCGGACAGGUCACCACCAUUAGCAGCAGUAGUAUCGCCCACCAAGAGCUCCGGGAAGUUGAGCCUCGCCGUCGGCCCGCGCAGAUAAUACACGGCGGUGUCAUAGGCUCUGGCAGCAGCCACGGGCGUGGAAUAAGAGCCUAACCAUAUCCUAGACCUCUUGUUAGGCUCUCUAAUCUCCGCCACCCAUUUGCCCCACUUCCUCAUCCUUAUUCCUUUGUAUAACCUCUCGCUUUUUUUCUUCCCUGCUCCGGCCCCAAUUCCUCCACCUCCCUCCAUCUCUUAUCCCCCUUUUUUUCUAUAAUAGGAGUAUGGAGGCGGUAAUAUAUAUCUAUCUAUCUAUAUGUGUAUUGUUUUCUCUCUAUAAUCUGAAUAGACCUAUAGCUAGCUCGAAGAAGAGAUUAUAGAGAGAAAAAGAAAACCCAUCAAAAGAAAUUAAGAUAGAUGCGGAGAGUUGAAGGGGAGGGCUGGGAUUUUGGCUUCGGUUUUUGAUAUCGGACCAACCAAAAGGGCAAAAAAAAAAAAAAAGAAAGAAAGAAACAAGCAGAACAAGUAGAAAAAAUUACAAGUGCCGGAUUAGUACUACUACUACUUGGGUACUAAGAAGGUUCAUUUGUCAUUUGAGUAAAGCUUCCACGUUGGUUUUUUGGUUUUCUUAAAAAGAAGAGAAUACACUAAUAUACUCCCCUGCCGCUAUAAUAUACUAGUGGUAACUAAAUGCACCGACACCAUCCCCUCUCUCUCUCUUCCCUUCACUUUUUUCUAUAUCUGUCUACAACAAAUUGGGAUUUGGGAGUAGCACUAAUAAUAAUAAGUUUAAAGUAGGAGCACUGAAAGGAAGAGGAGGACUACUUGUACUGUAUUUUUCUUUACUUUCCACUUUAACUUUUUGAAAAAAGCUUAAACAUUACCUCAUAUGCAAAAUAGUUGUGGUUGGCCGCCAUGUACACGAACACAUAUAAGCAAGGGGGCUGUACUCGAGUGCAGGAACAGACGCAUUUUUUUCCUCUCAUCUGCUGCAAUUUGCAAUUUGCAAUUGGCAAUUGGAUUGAGUUUUGUUUGGCUCGAAAUAAAUGGUAGCAGUAAUGGGGAUGGGCCGUCUUUUUGUUUUUGCGGGCUAAUUGUACUGUGUGUUGAAAAGAGCAGCUGUCGUUUGGUACUCCACUGUUGUAUUUGUAGCCUCCACUAUUGUACAGAGGAGGUUUGAUGGAGGGAGAGAAAGUCUCUUUCUUUAAGUAAUUCUUAUAGGGGCGGGUGGGCGGGGAGGGGAGGGGAAGAAGGGAAAGCGAGAUAUUGGGGGAGGCGAGAUAUUGGAACAGCAAGUGAAGUGAUAAUGAUGAUUAUUAAUUAGUGCUAUCAUCAAACGCUAAUUGUCAUUGUCAUUGCAGACUAGAAUUUUUAUUUUUUUAAAGAAAAAAAAAAGAAAAGAAGAAAGAUUUUAGUACUUAAUUAGGGAGAGGCGGAAGGUAGGUCGGUGGUCGGUGGAUGGAUAGAUACCGUUGUGACUUGACUUUGCUCCCCUCCCCGACAAUAACGAUAUCCAUUAUUAGACACUGUCAUACGCUUUUGUUUUCUGGCUUUUGGCCCGACGUAUCGUUUUGGUGGGUUUUUGGGGGCCCGCGGGCACACUUGCCUUCAACCUUAAACAAUGCCCCCCCCCCGCCCUCCCCUGCAAUUUUUUUUUCCUUUUCGCCCCAGCUGGAAGAACAAAGAAGAGCCCCGCCGGUUGACCUCCUCGUUUAGGCUCUUAAUUAUUGAGAAGGGAGAAAGAAAAAGCAGGAGUUGAUCCACCUUUUUCUUACAUGAUUGCCAAUUAAACAUGCAUUAAGCAGCUAAACCCGGUGAGUAAGAUGUUCGAUAAAUGGAGCGAGAAAUGCACCCUGGAUAAUGGAGUAGCACUCACUAGCAUCUAUCUGUAUCCAAGUCGGCCCGUAAACAUACAUAUAGAAUUUCUGUUUUUGGAAUGGUUUAAAAUACGCAAAAUUUUUGGUCGGUCUGCCCAACUUUCUUUGUGUUGGAGCCGUAUUUGUUAGUACUUCCAAAUUAUUAAUAGCUUUAAGAGCAUCACCGGAGGAACGAGUUUAUUCUGCAGUAGUAUUUGAACUUUUGUUUUUUCAGCUGCUAAUGAAUAAUGAUAGACAGCAGUGGAUGCCAGCUUCUGCAUCAUUUUUUAAGCACUCCAUGAUUAGAGAGAGAGAGAGAGAGGUGCUACUGUUUCAUUCCUUUCUCUAUCCGUUAUGGACCUUUGCUCUGCAAUUACCUCCUUUCUUUUCUUUUUUUUCCCUCUCUGAAAACCUAUAAUGCUGUGCUCGAUUUCCAUCUAACAAAUCCAAGCCAAGAUAGGGUAAUGCCCAAUUCAAUCGAAGCAAUUCAAUAGUAUCUAAUGCUAAAUACAACCACCCAACAGAAUAUGUUGUGUUCUUACUUGGAAAGUUAAAACCACGCCCACCGUGGACGUGGAGUGAACAAAUGUGGACUCCUAGACAAUUCAUCACACGGGUGCAUUUAUUAUUACUUUUUAAUUUAUUCACAUAAUUGAUGUAUGUAGUAAUUGGUAAGUAGCCACGAAUGAUGAAGAUGGCUCUCACAGAUUUGUGAUUUGAGAAUCUUAGGAAAGGAAGGAAACUGGUUCAUUCUAAAAAUUAGAAAAAUUUUAGAAAACAUAUUAUUAUUAUUAUUUGGCUGCGAAAUUUUGUCCCUCCUCCAAGCAAGCAGCACGCACAGCAUAUAAUAUGGGAUUUUCUUGGCUGAAGUUACGUGGCACGCAAAGCAAACACCAGUUACGUGGACAAACAGUACGGAUCCAAUAAUUUAUAAUUAUCACCGCUGCUGCUUAAUACUACUACUUAUAUAAGUAGUACUCAGUAUUUUGUUAUGUUGUUUGUUUGAGAGCGAGGGAGUGAAGGGGCCUUUGUUAACUUUGGUCUUGAGAGGAGAAGUCUGUCAUCCUACAGCAGCCCCAGAGGAAUCCUGAAAAAAGUCAAGAAAUCGGCAACCAGAUGUUGAUCUUUGAAGAUGUGGUAAAUGAUUUUUGGGUUAGUUGCAUUUGGUCAUGCGACUGCGAAGUCAGUCACCGCUAUGAGUGGACAAGAAAGAAAAAAUCUUUGGAGGUCAAUGUCAUGAUUAACUACAUUCUUACGAUGAAAACUCUCUGCUUGCAUUUCCAUCACCAAUGGAAGAUGCACAGAACAGUAACUCCAGCCGUCCAAAUAAUAAGAAACAAAAGUCAAAAGUUGGUGAAGAAAACGAACGCAGUUUUGUACUAUUUGUUUUUUCACUUCUGUUGACCCCUGCCCCCCACCCCCGGCCACAUUAAUAAUAGUAUUCAUGGCUAAAGUUGUGCCACUCGAAUCCAUCCACUUUUUUUUUUUUUGUGUCACAUCCUACGCAGAAAACUGCAAAUAUCAGAAGAGGUCGGUUAAGGCAGAGUCCAUGACAAAUUAAGUGAUUUCAUCCGUGAUAUGAUCACUGUUUUAAUACAGUGUACAGACUGAAUAAUUAAAUAAAAUCUCAAUCCUGCAACUUGGCUUGAGAGUCUGUGGCAAAAUUGCCUCAACAUGAUGAGGGGAUUGAAAUAGAAACAACAAAAACUUUCAAAUUAUGAACUUCAGAUUAGCCUAGCCAGUUUCCAUUAGCGCCCAGCACAUUAGGCUUUAGAAAUCUUCUUACAUCAGAACCGUGCCAAGUUGAUGCUGCUUGUGCAACAGACCUACUGGUCGUCAUCGUGCAAGGUGUCGCAUAAAAAAGGGUAACCUAUUGACUAAGGCAGAAAUCCAAAGUUAACAGGUGAUUUCCAACUCGUUUUACGAUAGAUCGAACGAUAUACAGCAGCCCCAGAGGAAUCAACAAACCGAGAGAUCUGCAAUCCUCAAUACUAUCACAGGGAUUUUACGUCCUUCUACACAAAUUACGUAAAGCAAGCAGAGUGAUGAGCAUUAAGUAGAACUCUUAAAAGAUUACCCUUAAAAUAAUUUUGUUUAAAAAAAAAAAAAACCAUAACAAAUGCUGAAAAGUUCAUAAUUACAAUUUAUUGCUGUUAAAUUUUUUACCAUCCGAACCAAUGGAAAGAGAAGGAAGUAAAUAAAAAGCUAAUUGCGGAUCCUAAUUCAGCACAAUUCAUACAUUCCAUGGUGCAAACCAAGUAUGAUGCAGCAUUGACACUUUGCACACAAUCUAUCGUUUGCAUUCACCUUGACUUCUUACUACGCAAUCCCAUCCUUGAUUUUGCAUACCUAAAUAUUUUGUCAAGUCCAAACUAUAGAAAAACCAAUGAAAUCAUGGGAAGAAAACCGAAUAAUACAAUGGUAAUCACAAAAUUAGACUCAAUCUUAGUAAAGGAUACUCCAACCGCAUGCCCUGACCAGAUGGUGAUGAGUACAGAACUGUGCCUUGUAGACGAUUUAGAGCCUCAGUUGAAGUAGCAGAAUCCUACAAAUUAAACCAUCAGAUGCAGACAGGAGCAUUUUACUAAAAGAUUAAUCAGACAGAAAGCACAGGACUGAACCAUGGCUCUGGGUCAAAAUGGAAAUGCUGGGCAUGUGCCAAUAAAUGCUGGGUUCUCCGUAUCAUAGCAAAAAGGUGAGAAAAAUCGUCCAGCUUUUGGUUUCACAGGAGAGGUUUAGAUAGGUAAGGACAAGCAGUUGGUAGUACAGGUGACACAGUUAACAGUAUACCUACCUAUACGAGAUGGAAAAAGGUUGAGCAGAAUAUAUGCUACAAAGUGAAACAUUUCUCCAUGUAAAAGAUAGCCAGGUACAGGUGCAAAAACAAAAACAAUUGAACAAAACUUCCAGUAACCACCCUUAAUCCCAUGGAGACUAGUAUCAAAGCUGAGCAGCAAAUGCUCCACAUUUUCCAGUCCAACCAACGGAGUGACUCAAGUUGACAACCAAAACUAAAUAAAGAAGAUUAGACUCUGAAUGAAUCUAGAAAAGAUCCUAAUUUUGUUCAAAAUUCCAACAAGAGAAAAGGGACUAUGCAAAUGUACAACAAACAAAAGGAAAUCGACUAGGUUAAGCUUUCAUGCUUUUAGACCAGACUUGCAAAAAUAGUGUUCCAGAAGAACAAAGUAAGAAAUAUACCUGGAAAUCAACAAAUGCAACAGGAGCCCCAUAUGUGCUCUGCAUCUUCAAUUUCAGAAAUCCAGGACAUCUAAGUAGAAAGCAGGCACCAAGUUAGUGCAGCCACAACAAUUUUUAUGAUGAAUGAUGAAGAAGACUGUUCUCCUGAACCUUGAAAAAACUUGAAUGAGCUCCUGUUCUGAACAAGUUGGGCCCAGAUUAGCUACAAAAAGUGUUGGACAUGGGGUGGAAUUCUGUGAAACACGGAGCUGAAGUCAAGCGGGUGUACAGCCAAAAUGGAUAAAUUAAUCUACCACAUAAAAGAUCGCUAUAUGAACUUGAAAAGGGAGUCAGUAGAUAAGAAUUGUCAAGUAAUAAUCUAAAGCAAGCAAGUGAACAAUAACUGUAAUCAUUCCAACAUGCUGAAACUAGUGCAGGAGCAAGACUAAGGCCCUGUUUGAUAACUCAAUUUACCACUUAAAUUUUAUAGGUUCAGAUCUUAACAUGUUCAGAUGUAUUUGAUAACCAAAAAUAGAACAUCUGAAGAAAAUUAAGUGGCACUAAAUUUUCUAGGCAAAAUUUGCUCCCAAAAAAGGUGAUAAGCUAUUCACUUAAUGUGAUAUAUACACUCAAAUGUAUCAAAUUUAGUCCUUAACAAUUCAGUAACUUAACGAAUUCAGGCUUCAAUUUUAUCAAACACACCCUAACUCAUGCCUUAAAAUAAAUGCGCUAUACAAAAUACUCAGAAUCAGUAUUCAGUUCAUAUAUUCAUAAAGACUUUACCAUAUCAAGGACAAUUUGGAAUGGAUAGCCUCUCUCAUGAAAAGGCCCAGGUUUUCAAAAGCUUAAGGAGAAAACUAACAUUUGUAGCUCGAAAAUCAUGAGCCAAAGCUGGAGUUAAAUUCUAAAAUUUUAAAGAGCCAAACAAAAAUUAUGAAAUAGUUUGUAAAAUACUGUAUCAUUAAAUAAAAUUUCAGGGACAAGAACAUCUUACCAAUUUUUUACUAGAGUCAUUUGCAGCCCUAUCAUCAAAGCUUCCCUCACUACAUUGUGAGAAAAAAGACAAUGGAAAUCAGAUAAGAUUUUUCAGUAACAUUGUAACUGAUAAAGUUCUCUAACUUCAGGGAAUAGGGCAUAUAGUGACUGCUUCAAUGUGGCCCUUGACCUUUCAGCCAGAAGUAAUCAAAUAUGAGUAAAUUAAACGUGCAUAUCGGCCGGAAGUAAGCACUUCCAAAUAAUUAAAGUGUGCUUAAGUAGUGCAGAUGACCUUUGUGUGGAUGAAUAACCAAUCGUGUUGUGAGCGGAAUUACCCGUUCCAGGCAUGUGAAUGCUGCCAACACCUGCUAGUGCCCAACAGUGCAAAACAUGUGCAAGGUGAGCUUUUAUAUUAACGUGCUCUCCGCUUGGCUGACUAGCUAAUAUUCUUUGUAAGAGAUCAAGUAGGUAUCAUGUGACUAAUUUGGAUUAAAAAAAAAAAGCAUAAAAACACAAUUAAACAUCGUGCCCUUGGAAGAAGCAGAAGAUAGAGACUGCUUGUAGAGAUAUUUUCAUCCACAAUGCACAGGAAAACUAAGGCAAAAACCUUACCCGAAUCUGUGCCCCUUGAAGAAGCAGAAGAUUUCAUCCUCUUCUCUGAUGCAGCACUCUCAUCAUCUGGUUGUUGCAAGUCAAACACAAUGGUUAAAAAAAACAGGACACAAGGCAUGACAGGCAGGAAAAAUGUUGCAAAAGUACCUGUUCUUAAGCGCUUAGACCUGGGAUUAGAUUUUGCAAGAUCAAUAUAUAAUGUGGAACCUUUCUCAAGGUCAAAUACCAUUCCCUGGGAAGAAAAAAAAAAGAAAAAAAAGGAUUAAAAUCAACAAGUGCCGAGGAUAUUUUCUCAGUAAAACCAAAGAUGUGAAUAUGAAAAUGAAGGGAGCCAACUACAUAAGGCAAGAAUGCUAAUUUAUGCAGAAACAGAUAACAAUUACAAUAUAAAGAUACAGAAUUUAGGGAAAACCCCACCAUUCCAAUUUUUAGUCAUACACAACACAAACCCACAACAUUACAAUCGACAAGUUCUAAGAAUGAGAGGCGAUCCUAACCCCACCAUUCCAAUUUUUAGUCAUACACAACACAAACCCACAACAUUAAAAUCAACAAGUUGUAAGAAUGAGAGACGAUCCUAGAAUUGCAUGAACUAAGGAUCAGUGAGUAGCAAAGCCAUUCCAAAAUGGGAUUUAUAAUUAUGUUUUCCUUUGUGGGAAGGGCAGGUGCUCCCGCCAGGCUCUAAACCCGUCCGGUAAGUUUUUCAAAUUUUUGAAAACAGAAAACCGACUUACUUGCCGGCCUCCACAUCAUUAUUGAUGAUCGAUUCAUUUCAAAUCAACCGAACCCGUCUAAAAUACUAGAGUGUUUGACCACAGUUACUAGGAGCUCAGUAACUUAGAACUAACUAGUAACAAAUGCAUAGAAAGAUGUCCUUACAUUGAGCGUGUGUAAUGCCAUAACGGCUGACUGCUGAUCCACAAAAACAGCAAAAGCAAAUGGCUGUAAACAACCACCAAAGAAAGAACAUAUAAGAAUGCAUAUAUGCAUACAUUAAACAGACUUGAAACGCCUGAGAGACCAUCAACUAAUCCGAUAAACAUAAAAACAAACAAAUAAUUGAGAAAAUGAGGGGAAAAAAAAUCACCUGAGUACUGGCUGUAGUACGAAGAUGAGAGGACUCGUAACCAGGGAACUCGCGAAAUAGGUUGUAGAUUUCUCGAGCCUUGACAUCUUCAGGAAGUCCAGCUAUGAAGAGAGUACGGACCUCGUCGUGCGAGGAUUGAGGGUAAAGCGGCGGAGCGUAAUUGACGAAUUGGGUUUGAGGAGGUAGGUAUUGCUGGUGGUGUAGCGGCUGAGCUACCGCAGGAUGAGCAGGAUGGGCAGCGGCUCCUGGAGGAGGUGGCGGUGGAGCUUCGUAAUAUUGGUAGUGCGCAGGCGGAGGAGGGUAGUAUGCCGCCAUGACGACGACGUCGUCCAAGGAAAGACUUCGAUGAGGCCUGGUUUCUUCCUAUACUGUGAUUUUGUGAAUAAGAGCUUAGCGUUUACAUUUGCUAAGCUAGGAAGUCGGCCAGUGGUGGAUUGCUUUUGGGCCCAAUAGGCGGAAGGAUUCAUAUGGGCUUUUUGGGGUUUUCAGAUGGGCUUUUUUUUUCUUUUUUCUUUAGGUAGCUCUCUUCGCUUUUUUUUUUUUUUUGGUUUUUCCUCUUUCCCUUUUUAUUUUUAGGUAGCUUUCUUCGCUUUUUAUUUGUCCGUAAUAUAUUCUCUACUAACUAUUUUUUUUUUUAAUCCCCAACUCAGUUUGCUUAUCUUGGAAGAUCGCCACGAUUGUUGUGGCCUAUAUUCGGUGAGGGACCAAGAGAAGAAAAGAAAAAUGCUACUUAAAGUUUGCGAGCGAGAGUGUUAGAUAAAAACUCAGAUUAGAUCAACAUCCAUGAUAGUUAAAUAUUCUAACAAAUGACAGUUUUUUUUUUUUAAUGGAUGGGUACGAAAUAGAGACGACAUACUUGUAGAGUUAGUUCUGCAUUUUACAUGGAAAAUGGUGGUUUCUGUUAGGAAGACUUAUGGGCGAGGCAAGUUUUGGAUUUGAAGCAUUUACAAUAAGUCUCUAAAGCGACAAAAAUGACAAAUAUUACGAAGCCAAGUUACGUGCACGUUUGCAGUUCGUGCGAAACAAUAAUGACAAUAGAUUUUGGAUCAGCCUCACCCCCAUCGAGAUAAUUCAAUUUUCCACGAGAACAGGCUCCUUGUGCAACUGUUACCAUAAAAAAAAAAAAGUCAAUUUGAUUCUUAUAAAGUAAUUGGAUAAAUUGGUUGAUUAAAUAUAAAAGUGAACGAGUGAAUGGGUUUGAAAUAUUUUUUACCGUCACGUUUAUGGUUUGAAUUCUGUAUCUGAGAGUUAGGAACGGAAAGGAUGCGAGGAGAAAUGGGAGAAUAAAAUAAAUGAAUAUCAUGUGGAAGAUCAUGAAUACUUGUAAUACCAUUUUGUUCAAUCAAAAAGAAAAUGCUAGAUUUCAUCAUGCAGAUAAUGCAUCAUUAACUAGAUUACAUAGAUUCAAAGAAACUAAUACUCGUCUUCCCAGGAGAUGCAAUGGCAAUAUUAAUGCUACCAAAAUCCAGAAACCUUUGACUGGCCUCUAUAAGUUGGAUUGGUUCAUCCACACCAUUAAUGUUAAUUGCUUUCCACUAGAGGUCUUCAUAUUCACGAGCAAUCAAAUGUUUGGUCGACUCGUAGUGAAAAUUCACCUAUAAUAAAAACUCAUGGCUUAAAUGUUGAAAUUGUUAAUUUUUUGUUGCUAUAUACGUACUGCGUUUCCCUUUUAGUUUUCAGUAAGGAACCCUUAUGUUCCAAAUACUAAAACGGCCACUUGUUCUCAAUCCUGAAGUAGUGUUAAUCAUUUGAGUUCCUACCAAGCCCAAUGACAAGGAAGAAAACGUAUACAUUCCUCCUAGCUAAAAGAUUUUACCAACAGCCCCCGUGCUUUCUCUGCGAAAGUGGUCAUGUUCGGUUAUGGAGACUAAAAUGCCAUGGGAACUAAUGCUGCUACAUCUUGAUAAUCCAAAUGAGGCUAUUGAUUUCCAUGCACUUCUUUGCAAUGUGGUAAAGCUUAGAAUUGAACUGCUUCAUCUUGCGUUGUAGUAAACUUUUAUAUAUAAGUUUUUCGGAAAAGAAAUUUCUAACAAAAGAAGAGUAAGAUUUAAGAAGCGAAAAAAGGCGAGGGAGAUUUAAACACAGACCUCUAAGUCCUAGGACCUGGACCAAAGCCUCCUCUACUAUUUUAUACAUACUUCCAAGUUGUAAUAUCCUCUCAUACUUAUAUUACCAUAUCUAACAAAAAAAUUCAAAAGCACACAUCACAUAAAAUCUGGGCAGCCUCACACUUAGCGUCAGGCCCAAUUCAACUAGUUGACAUCAAAGUCUGACCACCCACACUAUUGAAUGGAAAAUUGUUCGAAAGACUGCUUUGCCGAAUGUCCACUAGUCGAAUGGUGAAAAUCAAAUCAAUUAAGGUGGAAAGAAGGCAUGAUAACUGAAAUUUCACUAGCAACGGUUUACUCGAAUCUUGCUCUGAUCACCAAAAGGAGAAAGUCUUGAAAUCCAAGGCCAUCUGCCCAAUGCCCUGAGAUGAAACUCUACCCACAACCAAAAGAGACCUCAAUCAUCAGGUUAAAGCAACACUACACAUUCAAGAAAUUAGCCAGCAAACAGGAUCUUUUAACAGCAAACGAAUUUAAUGUCAGCUUGUCUACACAAAUUUGUGACACAAGAACGUCAACGAGUAGGUUCAGAUACACGAUGAAAUGUGCUUUAUCAUGAGAAGAACUACCAAUGAGCAUAUUGGCUGACUGGAACACUUCCACAUUUCGAUAUUAGUGAAGUCCAAACAGAACACUUCAGAAUGCAGUUUGCAUCAAAACAACUGAAA